rnacentral:rRNA from 1 species
AGAGUUUGAUCCUGGCUCAGAUUGAACGCUGGCGGUAGGCUUAACACAUGCAAGUCGUGCGAGAAAGUAUCUUCGGAUAUGAGUAGAGCGGCGGACGGGUGAGUAACGCGUAGGAAUCUACCUAGUAGAAGGGGAUAGCCCGGGGAAACCCGGAUUAAUACCGUAUACCUCCUUCGGGAGAAAGAAGGCCUCUCUUUGAAGCUUUCGCUAUUAGAUGAGCCUGCGUAAGAUUAGCUUGUUGGUGAGGUAAAGGCUCACCAAGGCGACGAUCUUUAGCUGGUCUGAGAGGACGAUCAGCCACAUUGGGACUGAGACACGGCCCAGACUCCUACGGGAGGCAGCAGUGGGGAAUAUUGGACAAUGGGCGCAAGCCUGAUCCAGCCAUACCGCGUGUGUGAAGAAGGCCUUCGGGUUGUAAAGCACUUUAAGCAGGGAGAAAAAGUUAUAAGUUAAUACCUUAUAACCUUGAUGUUACCUGCAGAAUAAGCACCGGCUAAUUCCGUGCCAGCAGCCGCGGUAAUACGGAAGGUGCAAGCGUUAAUCGGAAUUACUGGGCGUAAAGCGCGCGUAGGUGGUUUGUUAAGUUGGAUGUGAAAGCCCUGGGCUCAACCUAGGAACUGCAUCCAAAACUAACUCACUAGAGUACGAUAGAGGGAGGUAGAAUUCAUAGUGUAGCGGUGGAAUGCGUAGAUAUUAUGAAGAAU